rnacentral:rRNA from 1 species
CCCCCAGACUCCUACGGGAGGCAGCAGUGAGGAAUAUUGGUCAAUGGGCGGGAGCCUGAACCAGCCAUGCCGCGUGAAGGCGAGUGCCCUACGGGCGUUAAACUUCUUUUGUGCGGGAGCAAUAAGGGCCACGUGUGGCCCGAUGAGAGUACCGCACGAAUAAGCAUCGGCUAACUCCGUGCCAGCAGCCGCGGUAAUACGGGGGAUGCGAGCGUUAUCCGGAUUUAUUGGGUUUAAAGGGUGCGUAGGCGGUCGGAUAAGUUAGAGGUGAAAUCCCGAGGCUCAACUUCGGAAUUGCCUCUGAUACUGUUCGGCUAGAGAGUAGUUGCGGUAGGCGGAAUGUAUGGUGUAGCGGUGAAAUGCUUAGAGAUCAUACAGAACACCGAUUGCGAAGGCAGCUUACCAAGCUACUUCUGACGUUGAGGCACGAAAGCGUGGGGAGCAAACAGGAUUAGAUACCCGCGUAAG